rnacentral:rRNA from 1 species
GAAUGCUGACAUAAGUAACGAUAAAGCGGGUGAAAAGCCCGCUCGCCGGAAGACCAAGGGUUCCUGUCCAACGUUAAUCGGGGCAGGGUGAGUCGACCCCUAAGGCGAGGCCGAAAGGCGUAGUCGAUGGGAAACAGGUUAAUAUUCCUGUACUUGGUGUUACUGCGAAGGGGGGACGGAGAAGGCUAUGUUAGCCGGGCGACGGUUGUCCCGGUUUAAGCAUGUAGGCGGAGGU